rfam:Octopus bimaculoides Scaffold119033_contig_1, whole genome shotgun sequence.
UAUAUAUACAUAUAUAUAUAUAUAUAUAUGUGUGUAGAGAGAGAAGAUUAGCAUGGCCCCUGUACAAGGACGACAUGCACAUUCAUGAAGCAUUCUAUAUUCUU